GAUGAAGAACGUAGCGAAAUGCGAUAAGUAGUGUGAAUUGCAGACUUUAGUGAAUCAUCGAAUCUUUGAACGCACAUUGCGCCCCUUGGUAUUCCAUUGGGCAUGCCUGUUCGAGCGUCAUUAUAACCCCUCAAGCUCAGCUUGGUGUUGGGGCCUGCUGCACUGGCAGCCCUUAAAAUCAGUGGCGGCGCCAUCUGGCUCUAAGCGUAGUAAUUCUUCUCGCUAUGGAGUCCUGGUGGAUGCUUGCCAUCAACCCCCAAUUUUUCUAUGGUUGACCUCGGAUCAGGUAGGGAUACCCGCUGAACUUAAGCAUAUCAAUAAGCGGAGGA
rnacentral:misc_RNA from 1 species